GACAGUAUGCCCGAGUUGGUUAUGGGGUAUGAUUAGAAAUCAUAUAGGCUCUGCCUGCGUAGGUUCAAAUCCUACUGCUGUCG